CAGUAGCCGCGGGAAUACAGAGGGUGCGAGCGUUAAUCGGAUUUACUGGGCGUAAAGCGUGCGUAGGCGGCUUCUUAAGUCGGAUGUGAAAUCCCUGAGCUUAACUUAGGAAUUGCAUUCGAUACUGGGAAGCUAGAGUAUGGGAGAGGAUGGUAGAAUUCCAGGUGUAGCGGUGAAAUGCGUAGAGAUCUGGAGGAAUACCGAUGGCGAAGGCAGCCAUCUGGCCUAAUACUGACGCUGAGGUACGAAAGCAUGGGGAGCAAACAGGAUUAGAUACCCCCGUAGUCCCUGUCUCUUACAC
rnacentral:rRNA from 1 species